AUUUAUAGGGUAGGGAGCCAGAAUAAUUUCAGGAACUGGGAACGGAUUGAGUCAGUAAGAGGGACUAAGUGGCCCCAGUAAUAGGCGAGUUGGAGCUAGUAGAUCUUUGUAGGUUAUUGUUUAGUAUCUGUGUCUCGUGGCUUAUUUGCUUGUAUUACUUAUUUAUUUUGCAGAAGUAAUAUUUACAUAACAGUAAAGUGCACGUAUCUUAAGUGUACAGCUCAAUGAAUUUUCACAUAUGUACACACCUGUGUAAUCACCAUCCAGAUCAGGAAAUAGGAGUUUCUAUCCCUCUCAAAAACUCUCUUGUGCCCACUCCCAGUCAAUACCUGACCAAAGGCAACUCUUGUAGUAACCGCUAUCAUUAUGGGUGGGAUUAGUCUGUUUUUGAACUUCGUGUAAAUGGAACGUACAGUUUGUACUCUCUCAUGUCUGGUUUCUUUUACUUAUUCUGUUUGGUUUUUAUUUUGAUAAAGAGCCAGAUGCAUUAUAGGCCAUGAAUCUGUGAGCAGAUGACCACACUUUGUGGGCAAAGAUCUAAGAUCUGCAAGUGUGACCCCCAGGGGCUCUGUACAUGAGUACAGCAUUCUCUGCAUCUCGGUACCAGCUGUGAGAUAUGAGGAAGAAGAGGAAACACCUGCCAUGCUAGAGCUGCCAUGGGCUCAAUGCCUUUCGAAGCCUCUCAGGACUCCCUGGACCCUGGUGUAAACCUUCCUGGAGGAAUUGCUUCACGGAAGUAUGAAUAUCUUAAAUUGGGUGACCCAGAUUACAGGGCUCUGAGAUUAGGGAAGUGAUGCACUUUGCCAGGCCUGGCAGGUGUAAGGGACUGCCUUCAUGGGAGGUGACCUUUGUGUGGAGGAUGCUUUGCAUUUCUGGUACGGACAGUCUGCCUGCUGUUGCUUCUCUCCUCUACAAGUACACUAGGAAAUGCCCUUCCAGUCAGCUUGGCUCCAGUUAAUUUGGGAUAAUUAGGUAAAUAAUUUGUUUCCUACUUUUACUCAGAUUGGCUAUACUUAUUGAGGGCUAGAGUAAGUCAGGCUAAGUACUGAGUGCAUGAUCUCAUUUUUUAAAAAUUUAAAUUCAAUUAACUAACAUAUAGUGUAUUAUUAGUUUCAGAGGUAGAGUUCAGUGAUGCAUCAGCCUUAUAUAAUACCAAGCGCUCAUUAUAUCAUGUGCCCUCCUUAAUGCCCAUCACCCAGUUACCCCAUCCCCCCUCCCCCACCAGCCACCCUCAGUUUGUUUCCUGUGAUUAAGAGUCUCUUCUGGUUUAUCUCCCUCUCUGAUUUCAUCUUGUUUUAUUUUUCCCUCCCUUCCCCUAUGAUCCACAUAUGAGUGAGAUAUUAUGAUAAUUGUCUUUCUCUGAUUGAUUUAUUUGGCUUAGCAUAAUACCUUCUAGUUUUACCCACCUCGUUGCAAAUGGCAAGAUUUCAUUUUUUUUUUGAUGGCUGAGUAGUACUCUAUUGUAUAUAUAUACCACAUCUUCUUUAUCCAUUCAUCCAUUGAUAAACAUCUGGGCUUUUUCCGUAGUUUGGCUAUUGUGGACAUUGCUGCUAUCAACAUUGGGGCACAGGUGCCCCUUUGAAUCACUACAUUUGUAUCUUUUCAGUAAAUACCUAGUAAUGCA
ensembl:lncRNA